GACCCUGUGUGAAAAAGUCCUGUCUCUUAACACUGUUGGCAAUAUUAUGGAUGCAAUAUAACUUAAGAUGUGCAGUAUCAAAAAAGCUUAUCAUAGCCUGUAACUCAUGUGCCUUUAAAAAAGGAAAGAAAUAUAACAAAUUCAUGCAGGUUAAGGGAAUUUUAUUUUUCAGAUGCAAGUUUUAAGAUUUGAUAUUAGCAUUUGCCUAGGAUUUUACAUGUGGUUGGCCCAUGUGGGAAAAACCUGGUUUCCACAGCUAUAUCUCUUACUUACAGAUGACAAGUGCUAACACUGCAUACAUCCAAGGGGGCCUCAGAUAUGAAUAUCAGCACCAGUUUUUCAAGGAGAAGUACAUUUCUGGUAUAUGUGGUUGUACAUUCUGCUUAUAGAAUAAAAUAAUAUUCAGAAAAAAACAGUUUCUGCAGAAAGAACAACUCUUUCAGCCAUCUAUAGAUUUCUGCAUAAUGUCUUCAUGAAAUCACCUGGAGUUUUUCAUAGUGUAACAGAACAAAUUCAUUUCUUAAUGCUAAUUACAUCUUAAUUCUGAGGGAAGAAAAACAAUGCAAAGCACCAACUCAAAGCUCUGGUAAUGUUUGUCAGGAACUUUUCUGUUUCUGUGUCAGCCCUUCAUUGAGUCAUUCCAGGAAAAA